GUCUAUGGCCAUUCCAACCUGAACAAGCCCGAUGUCUGAUCUCGGAAGCUAAGCAGGGUUGGGCCUGGUUAGUACUUGGAUGGGAGACUACCUAGGACGACCAGGUUUUAUAGGCA
rnacentral:rRNA from 1 species